UGGUGUAUGCUAGAUGGUUGCAUACACCAGUAGUCUCUCUGGCCUCUCCUGUUGUGAACAGUUUUCUGAGAACGUUUCUGUGUCUACUAGAAGUCACCUGGUCUCUGUGUUUGUUCGAUCCUAGGGGUUUUGUCGCCUCAUUCGAGAACUCACCAGUGAAUACCUGCGUGCUCGCUCCGCCGAUUCCACUGCCUCCACUCCACCCUUCAAGCUUCCAGCUCUCUUCCAUUCCCACCUCGCAUUUACCUUCGGAACCGCUGCACACCCUCUCUCAGGAACCUGGCAUCUCACACCCACGCCUCGAAAGACCCACACCGAAGUAAGCCUGUUCCUGUUUCCCCUCCGAUCACUCAUUCUAAGCCCGUCAUAACUAAGUUCUCGUUUCAGGCCAACCUGGUCGAGUGGUCCUCACCCUUCCGCUGAUGUCCGGGAAAUAGAUUUUAUUUUGUCCUGUUGUAAAUAAAUCACUCACUCAUCCCUAUCCAACGUGUGGUUACUGCAUGUGGGUCCGUAAAUUGAAACCCAUCAUGUCAAUCAGUGGCCAAGCCUGAAACAAAUAUUGAAAGAUGAAGAAAUUCUUUUUGAUAUUUUUGCAAUAUUUAGCUAGCAGUUAUGUGAAAUGUACUUAUAUUUAAUUGUAGCUCUAAUUUUUUUAUAUGUACAAUGUUUUAGGCUUUAUUAGUUACAUUUAUAGUGAUUUUCUAAACUUCUCUUAAGAGUAAUACUACUGUCUUAGUCCUGUCACGUUAACAAAGAAAUUAGGAUAAUUGCAAAACUGUUCAGUGUUUACAUUAUAAGGCUUCAGUAGUUAAUCUAUACAAAGGCUGUUUUGCCUUAAUUUUUUUAUUUUUUUGAAAAGUCUAAAUGUUAUAUUGCACUAAUAAAAUAUAUAUUUUUGCAGGCUUCAAGAGGAUCAGCGUGUGAAGAUCACUUUAUAAUGAUUUGAAAAAGGUUGCCAUGGCUGCAGAAAUUGGAGGAGCAUCCUUAGAUGACACAAUACAACCAGCUGUGCGAUUCCUCAUGUCCCAUGAACUGGAAGUCCAGUUCAACCUUUUUGGCCAACAUUGGAAACAAGCUCUUGGACCUGCGUCUCUUUGAUGUUUUGUAUGGGGACUUAAAAGAAAUUAUCCAUCUACAGAAUCACACAAGCAUACAGCAAAGACUCUCGAAGUGGUUUACUGGAGCCCGAGUGGAAGUGGAAAUAGACUAGAGAGACUGCCAGUUCAAACUCAGGUUGGGGAGGUCUUUCAAGAUGGACAGUUUCAGUAAAGUAUGAGAGAUUUCAAAUUUAAGCAUGCAUAUGGCAUGUAGGUUAUUUUUAAAAAUGUUUAACAAAAAUGUAUUGUGAAAGAUCUAUAUAGGUGUGUAUAUUCACAUUGUGUGUAUCAAUGUGAAUAUACGUGUAUAAAGUUAUAUAGAUAGUAUUUAGAUGUAUACAUUUAUAGACCUGUAGGAAAAUAUGUAGGUGUCUUUAUUUGUGUGCAUCUAUAGAUAUAUAUUUAUAGAUCUGUUUAUAAGUUUGUUAUAGUAAACUAGCUUCUGUUAUUUUCAAAGAUGUCGUGAAUAAUUGCAGAUUUCUUUUUGUGCCACCAUUCCCUGAGUAUUAAUGAAGUUCUAAUAAUUGCUGUAGUGAGGUAAAAAAUAACUCCUGACAAUAUUUUAAAUUACUAAA